UGGGGAAUAUUGGACAAUGGGCGCAAGCCUGAUCCAGCCAUGCCGCGUGAGUGAUGAAGGCCCUAGGGUUGUAAAGCUCUUUCACCGGUGAAGAUAAUGACGGUAACCGGAGAAGAAGCCCCGGCCAACUUCGUGCCAGCAGCCGCGGUAAUACGAAGGGGGCUAGCGUUGUUCGGAUUUACUGGGCGUAAAGCGCACGUAGGCGGACUAUUAAGUCAGGGGUGAAAUCCCGGGGCUCAACCCCGGAACUGCCUUUGAUACUGGUAGUAUUGAGUACGAGAGAGGUGAGUGGAAUUCCGAGUGUAGAGGUGAAAUUCGUAGAUAUUCGGAGGAAAACCAGUGGCGAAGGCGGCUCACUGGCGCGAUACUGACGCUGAGGGGCGAAAGCGGGGGGAGCAAACAGG
rnacentral:rRNA from 1 species